rnacentral:ncRNA from 2 species
UCUGAUAGAAUCUAGUUGAAUGGAACAACAAAGACAGAAAUCUCUACUGAAUUAGGGAAACCGGUGCAAGUCCGGUGCGGUCCCGCCACUGUAAACGGGGACGAAAUCCACAGAACGCCACUGGCAUUGCUGGGAAGGCGUGGAGAGUAGGAAGAUCCGUGAGUCAGGAGACCUGUUCAGAAGAGUUCUUACAC